rnacentral:rRNA from 1 species
GAUGAACGCUAGCUACAGGCCUAACACAUGCAAGUCGAGGGGCAGCAUUAUUUGUAGCAAUACAGAUAGAUGGCGACCGGCGCACGGGUGAGUAACGCGUAUCCUACCUUCCCCUGUCUCGGGUAUAGCCUUCCGAAAGGGAGAUUAAUCCCCGAUGGCGUCAAGAGGCCGCAUGGCAUCCUGACUAAAGCGUUUGCGGACAGGGCUGGGGGUGCGUCCCAUUAGGUUGUUGGCGGGGUAACGGCCCACCAAGCCUUCGAUGGGUAGGGGUUCUGAGAGGAAGGUCCCCCACAUUGGAACUGAGACACGGUCCAAACUCCUACGGGAGGCAGCAGUGAGGAAUAUUGGUCAAUGGCCGAGAGGCCGAACCAGCCAAGUAGCGUGGAGGAUGACUGCCCUACGGGUUGUAAACUCCUUUUAUAAGGGGGUAAAGGCGUCUACGUGUAGAUGUUUGCAAGUACCUUAUGAAUAAGCAUCGGCUAACUCCGUGCCAGCAGCCGCGGUAAUACGGAGGAUGCGAGCGUUAUCCGGAUUUAUUGGGUUUAAAGGGAGCGUAGACGGGAUGUCAAGUCAGCUGUGAAAGUCUGCGGCUUAACCGUAGAACUGCAGUUGAAACUGGCGUUCUUGAGUGCGUUCGAGGCAGGCGGAAUUCGUGGUGUAGCGGUGAAAUGCAUAGAUAUCACGAAGAACCCCGAUUGCGAAGGCAGCCUGCCAGGCCGCUACUGACGUUGAAGCUCGAAAGUGCGGGUAUCAAACAGGAUUAGAUACCCUGGUAGUCCGCACGGUAAACGAUGGGCACUCGCUGUCGGCGACAAACAGCCGGCGGCUUAGCGAAAGCGUUAAGUGCCCCACCUGGGGAGUACGCCGGCAACGGUGAAACUCAAAGGAAUUGACGGGGGCCCGCACAAGCGGAGGAACAUGUGGUUUAAUUCGAUGAUACGCGAGGAACCUUACCCGGGCUUGAACUGUGCCUGAAUCCGGAGGAAACUCCGGAGCCAGCAAUGGCAGGCAUGGAGGUGCUGCAUGGUUGUCGUCAGCUCGUGCCGUGAGGUGUCGGCUUUAAGUGCCAUAACGAGCGCAACCCCUUCGGCCAGUUGCCAUCAGGGUGGUGCUGGGGGACUCUGGCCGUACUGCCAUCGUAAGAUGCGAGGAAGGUGGGGAUGACGUCAAAUCAGCACGGCCCUUACGUCCGGGGCUACACACGUGUUACAAUGGGGGGUACAGAGGGCCGCCAUCCGGCGACGGAGCGCCAAUCCCUAAAGCCUCCCCCAGUUCGGACUGGAGUCUGCAACCCGACUCCACGAAGCUGGAUUCGCUAGUAAUCGCGCAUCAGCCACGGCGCGGUGAAUACGUUCCCGGGCCUUGUACACACCGCCCGUCAAGCCAUGAAAGCCGGGGGUACCUGAAGUGCGUAACCGUAAGGGGCGCCCUAGGGUAAAACCGGUGAUUGGGGCUA